UUGACCUCAAAUCAGGUAGGACUACCCGCUGAACUUAAGCAUAUCAAUAAGCGGAGGAAAAGAAACUAACAAGGAUUCCCCUAGUAACUGCGAGUGAAGCGGGAAAAGCUCAAAUUUAAAAUCUGGCGGUCUUGCGGCCGUCCGAGUUGUAAUCUGGAGAAGCGUUUAUCCGCGUCGGACCGUGUACAAGUCUUCUGGAAGGGAGCGUCGUAGAGGGUGAGAAUCCCGUCUUUGACACGGACAACCGGUGCUUUUGUGAUGCGCUCUCGAAGA
rnacentral:rRNA from 1 species